UUGAACGCUGGCGGCAUGCCUUACACAUGCAAGUCGAACGGUAACAGGUCUUCGGAUGCUGACGAGUGGCGAACGGGUGAGUAAUACAUCGGAACGUGCCCGAUCGUGGGGGAUAACGAAGCGAAAGCUUUGCUAAUACCGCAUAAGAUCUACGGAUGAAGGCAGGGGACCGCGAGGCCUUGCGCGAACGGAGCGGCCGAUGGCAGAUUAGCUAGUUGGUGGGGUAAAGGCCCACCAAGGCGACGAUCUGUAGCGGGUCUGAGAGGAUGAUCCGCCACACUGGGACUGAGACACGGCCCAGACUCCUACGGGAGGCAGCAGUGGGGAAUUUUGGACAAUGGGCGCAAGCCUGAUCCAGCCAUGCCGCGUGCGGGACGAAGGCCUUCGGGUUGUAAACCGCUUUCAGCCGGAAAGAAGUCGAUGUUUUUAAUACGGACAGUGGAUGACGGUACCGGAAGAAGAAGCACCGGCUAACUACGU
rnacentral:rRNA from 1 species